UUUCGCAAUGCCCGAAAGGGUGACGAAGCGACGCCGCGUGAGUGAGGAAGGCCUUCGGGUUGUAAAGCUCUGUCAGGAGUUAAGAAAUAUAAGUGUGUUAAUACCACAUUUAUUUGACGAAGGCUCCAAAGGAAGCCACGGCUAACUCUGUGCCAGCAGCCGCGGUAAUACAGAGGUGGCAAGCGUUGUUCGGAAUUAUUGGGCGUAAAGAGCACGUAGGUGGGUUUGUAAGUCAGAUGUGAAAGCCUUCUGUUCAACGGAAGAAUUGCAUCUGAAACUGCGAGUCUUGAGUGUAGGAGGGGAGAAUGGAACUUCUGGUGGAGCGGUGAAAUGCGUAGAUAUCAGAAGGAACGCCGGCGGCGAAAGCGAUUCUCUGGCCUAUUACUGACACUCGGUGUGCGAAAGCUAGGGGAGCAAACGGGAUUAGACACCCCGGUAGUCCUAGCUGUAAACGAUGGGCACUAAGUAGAGGGGUUUUA
rnacentral:rRNA from 1 species